CGAUUGUGGAGCGUAUUGUGGGAAAACUUGUUAAAAUGAAUAUGUUAAUAUAUGUUAAUAUUUUGGGAGGAAUUUACAACGGAGCUGAAUUGCUUGGGACCACCAGUUAGAACGGCAGCAAAAUGGAUUAAGGUAUGGGCUGAAAUACGUAGAGGAACUGAAAUACAUAUUUUUUUCAAAUGACGAAUAAUUGAAUAAAGAAAAUUUAUAACAAAAAUAAAACAGAAACUGUGGCGUAAAGGUUUCUAUUUAAUACUUUUUAGAUUUUUCUAUAAUAUUCUAAGAAUUUCAUUUCUUAUGUUUUCUGCUUCUCCGUUAUUUGGCUCCACUUCAAUAUCUUCAGCAUCAUCGUUGAGGGUCUCAUCGGAUAACUCUUCAUCCGGAAGUUGAACAUUAUAAAACAAGCAAAUGUUGUGCAAAGCUGCACACGCAUUAAUAAUUUGUGUUGCUUUUUUUGGAGAAUAGUGAAGAGCUCUUGGCUCGGGUGCACUGCUGCAACUGGUUUUUUGUACUGGACAGUAGGUUCAUAAACGGCUCUUUAGAUAAUCUAAAGUUCUUUAAAAAACUGUAAGGAAAUUUCUGUAAUAUUAUGUACGUCAACACAUUUUGAAAAUACUAAACUUGCU